rnacentral:rRNA from 2 species
UGGAGAGUUUGAUCCUGGCUCAGGACGAACGCUGGCGGCGUGCCUAACACAUGCAAGUCGAGCGGAAAGGCCCCUUCGGGGGUACUCGAGCGGCGAACGGGUGAGUAACACGUGAGCAACCUGCCCCUGACACUGGGAUAAGCCUGGGAAACCGGGUCUAAUACCGGAUACGCACCGCCGGCCGCAUGACCGGUGGUGGAAAGGUUGACCUUCGGGUCUUCCGGUCAGGGAUGGGCUCGCGGCCUAUCAGCUAGUUGGUGGGGUAACGGCCUACCAAGGCGACGACGGGUAGCCGGCCUGAGAGGGUGUCCGGCCACACUGGGACUGAGACACGGCCCAGACUCCUACGGGAGGCAGCAGUGGGGAAUCUUGCGCAAUGGGCGAAAGCCUGACGCAGCGACGCCGCGUGGGGGAUGAAGGCCUUCGGGUUGUAAACCUCUUUCGGCAGGGACGAAGUUGACGUGUACCUGCAGAAGAAGCGCCGGCUAACUACGUGCCAGCAGCCGCGGUAAUACGUAGGGCGCGAGCGUUGUCCGGAAUUAUUGGGCGUAAAGAGCUCGUAGGCGGCCGGUCGCGUCUGCCGUGAAAGCCCACGGCUCAACCGUGGGACUGCGGUGGAUACGGGCCGGCUAGAGGCAGGCAGGGGCAAGUGGAAUUCCUGGUGUAGCGGUGAAAUGCGCAGAUAUCAGGAGGAACACCGGUGGCGAAGGCGGCUUGCUGGGCCUGUCCUGACGCU